rnacentral:rRNA from 1 species
GAUGAACGCUGGCGGCGUGCCUAAUACAUGCAAGUCGAGCGAACGGACGAGAAGCUUGCUUCUCUGAUGUUAGCGGCGGACGGGUGAGUAACACGUGGAUAACCUACCUAUAAGACUGGGAUAACUUCGGGAAACCGGAGCUAGUACCGGAUAAUAUUUUGAACCGCAUGGUUCAAAAGUGGAAGACGGUCUUGCUGUCACUUAUAGAUGGAUCCGCGCUGCAUUAGCUAGUUGGUAAGGUAACGGCUUACCAAGGCAACGAUGCAUAGCCGACCUGAGAGGGUGAUCGGCCACACUGGAACUGAGACACGGUCCAGACUCCUACGGGAGGCAGCAGUAGGGAAUCUUCAGCCCUGGGCGCCAGCCUGCCGGCGCACCGCCGCGUGAGUGAUGAAGGUCUUCGGAUCGUAAAACUCUGUUAUUAGGGAAGAACAUAUGUGUACGUAACUGUGCACAUCUUGACGGUACCUCCUCAGAAAGCCACGGCUCCCUACGUG